rnacentral:rRNA from 1 species
UACGUAGGGUGCAAGCGUUAUCCGGAAUUAUUGGGCGUAAAGAGCUCGUAGGCGGUUUGUCACGUCUGCUGUGAAAACUGGAGGCUCAACCUCCAGCCUGCAGUGGGUACGGGCAGACUAGAGUGCGGUAGGGGAGAUUGGAAUUCCUGGUGUAGCGGUGGAAUGCGCAGAUAUCAGGAGGAACACCGAUGGCGAAGGCCAGGUCACUGGGCCGCAACUGACGCUGAGGAGCGAAAGCAUGGGGAGCGAACAGG